rnacentral:rRNA from 1 species
CCUUUAUGGAGAGUUUGAUCCUGGCUCAGGACGAACGCUGGCGGCGUGCCUAAUACAUGCAAGUCGAGCGGAGUUUAUCCUUCGGGGUAAGCUUAGCGGCGGACGGGUGAGUAACACGUAGGCAACCUGCCCCAUGAACUGGGAUAACUACCGGAAACGGUAGCUAAUACCGGAUAAUUCCUCUUUUCGCCUGAAGAGAGGAUGAAAG